rnacentral:lncRNA from 1 species
UUCUCUUUCUAUUCAAAGGAAAGGUGGUGCGAUAUAAUAAAACUAACAACGUGGUACACUUACAUACAGUUAUAAUUUAUUUAUUAGCUAAUUUUUUUUAUGACAUUUAUUAAGACAAUAUUCAAAGAAUGGAAGAUCUUGCAAAAAAAAAAAAAAAAAAAAAAAAAAUAAUUAAUACUGCCACCAUACUUUUUCUAGUACAAAAGCAAAGCAAAAAGGCAGACUUUAUCUUAUCAAUAUGAGAAUUCCUUGAAAUGGGUACCCCAUAACUUUCUUUAAGCCUUGAUUUAUCAUUGAUUGCUUGAAUAAUUAAGAUAUGGCCAAAUUGAAAAAAAAUAGCUUAAGUUUUGAUUUAGAAGACAAGUCGAUAGUAUUGUGAUAUGAUCGUUAAAUUAUUCAAAAUAGUCCUUAUCAAGUUCGAAGAGAUACAUUUUUAUAAAAGAAAUCAAUCGUGGAAGACUAGUAUCGACUUCAUAUUCAUAAAUUUUCAUUUUGUCUUUUGGCUACUAAUUUGGGAUGAAUUAUUAUUAAAUGGUCUCAACUCUUGAAUGUCAUUUUUUUAGAAACUUCUAACAUGAGAAAAAUGACAAAAAAUAGGUGUUUGUACUUAAUAGUGUUUUAUUAAUUACUUAAAUAUAUAAUCAUGUCAUUCUUUUAUUUUCAAUUAUAGUUUAGAAAAAAUAUAUGAUAAUAAUAAGACUGAAGAUUAAUUCCUCUUAGGCUUCCACUAAUUAUUUAUUCUUAAGAAUAUCCCAUUGAAUUUAUACAGAACCCAUUAGUUAUAUCAAGGAAUGAAGUAGGAUCUUGAUGAUGGAGGGAUGGCUUUCAUAGUUGCUUGAUUUAAUGAUAUAGAUAUGCAGUUAAAAAAAUGCAAAUAAAGUAGAGGAAAAUGAGAUAAUUACAAGAAAAGAUCAAGUAGUGAGAGAAAAAUCCUACUAUAUCAGACCUCAGGAUGAUAUGAGUCCGUCACAGCCUUCUCAAUGACCAUUUUCAACACUUUAUUCCUUCUUCAAAAAUAAUGAAUUAUUAUGUAAGUAACUAAUACUGGAAAUAAUUAAUGAAAAUAUAUAGGUAUGACAAAACUUAAAAAAGUCUGAAUAAUCGUCUAUAUUUUCAAAGUGGCAUUUCCAUUCCAUUUUUUUUUUUAUUAGACUUCCUCAAUUAUGAAUGUAUCAUAUAUCACUAUCUAGCACUUACCAUAUCUGCAGUUCAUUCCAAUGUAGUCUUUCUAUUUUUAUUAAUCAUAAUAAUAGUAACUCUUAUCAUUCCAAUUAAUUACAAUUUUUGCUACAUAACUAUUAAUAUGAGUGUAAAUAUAUUCUGUAGUUAAAUAAGUUAUAUUAAUCAAUUAUAUAAUUAUUCAUCAAGACAUAUACGUCAUAGCCAAUUAACAAA